GGAUGUGGUGGUGGUGAUUGAAGAUGGAGUUGCUAACUCUUGAUUUUCAGAUGGGAUAACAACCCCAGGCCAAGAUUGGCACAUGCAGUGUUUCCCCUUGUCAAUACUGCCAUAAAGGGUUUUCAAGUGAUUCCCACACCCACCCCAUGUAUACUUCCCACAUUUCUUGCAUUCCACUCUAUAACACAUGAUGAUUUCUUUUCCUUUGAUCCCAAG
rnacentral:lncRNA from 1 species